rnacentral:rRNA from 1 species
AGUGAACGCUGGCGGUAGGCCUAACACAUGCAAGUCGAACGGCAGCACAGUAAUAGCUUGCUCUUACGGGUGGCGAGUGGCGGACGGGUGAGGAAUACAUCGGAAUCUACGUGUUCGUGGGGGAUAAUGUAGGGAAACUUACGCUAAUACCGCAUACGACGUACGUGUGAAAGCAGGGGAUCUUCGGACCUUGCGCGAUUGAAUGAGCCGAUGUCGGAUUAGCUAGUUGGCGGGGUAAAGGCCCACCAAGGCGACGAUCCGUAGCUGGUCUGAGAGGAUGAUCAGUCACACUGGAACUGAGACACGGUCCAGACUCCUACGGGAGGCAGCAGUGGGGAAUAUUGGACAAUGGGCGAAAGCCUGAUCCAGCCAUACCGCGUGUGUGAAGAAGGCCUUCGGAUUGUAAAGCACUUUUGUUGGGAAAGAAAAGCAGCAGGUUAAUACCUCGCUGUUCUGACGGUACCAAAAGAAUAAGCACCGGCUAACUUCGUG